rnacentral:rRNA from 1 species
GUGACAGUAGUUGCCAGCACAGGGUGUAAGAAGUGCCGUCCAGACGUGAUUCUGAAGGACAGGGCUUAAGGGUGGUGGAGUCGGUGCUGUUAGUCGGGUGGUAAAUCCCACGGCUCAACCGUGGAACUGCGUCAGAUAGUGCAGUGGGUGAGGGAGGCAGAGGUAAGCGGAACUGAUGGUGGAGCGGUGAAAUGCGUUGAUAUCAUCAGGAACACCGGUGGCGAAAGCGGCUUACUGGGUCUCUUCUGACGCUGAGAAACGAAAGCUAGGGUAGCGAAGGGGAUUAGAUACCCGAGUGUC